rnacentral:lncRNA from 1 species
AUCACACAUAUCAUACUCUAAUUGUUUUGAUCAUGUGUGCAGGUGUUCCCUAAAUCAAUAAAUUAUAAACCUUAUUAAAUUGUAAAGUACAUCCAGCACCUAUAAGCAGGUCCAAGUCAUAAAAUCCAUUAUAAUUGACAAAACUGGUACAAAAUUUGCUGGCUUAAAAUCCCUAAUUCAUACCAGAUACUGUAGUUCAGCAAGGAGACCAAGCAUGAGCUUGCCCUCUAAUGCUAUUAGUCUAUAAAUCAGUAGAAAAAUUAGCAAGUAAACCAAUGAACUCAUAAUACCAGGUUUAGGGUUUAAGUUAUUUGUAAAUAUUAGAAUUAAUAUUCAAAAAAAGAAGAAGAAGAAGUUUAUGCACCAAAUUAACUAUACAAAUAUUAUGCAAUUUAAAUUUAUCUAAUAAUGUUCUAUAUAAAUAUAAGUAGAUAAUUCAAAUUUUCAAAAAUAUAUGAAUAAAUUACUUGCAAUCAAUUAUUGUUUCUUAUUAUUAUUAUUAUUAUUAUAACAUAGUUUGAUUAAAUAAUUGGAGGUUACUCGUUUUAUUUUCAUUUUUUAAAUCCUAUUUUUAUUUACUUAUUAAUUUAUUGAAGACUGAUUCGUACUAUUAAAAAGAUAAUUGUAUUUGAUAUCAUUUAAAACAAAUUCGUUUAGAUAUUGUAGAUGAAUACUGACCAAUAGAAUAUUAUUUGUGGCAAGUCUAAGAUGAACAAGGGUUCCACUUAUUGCUCUCUUCUACAAUAUCUAAUCAUUUCUCUAAUCUUUUUCUGUCAAGGGGACUCGAGUAAUUAGAUUGAACACCAAUUUCGAAUAUUUGUCUUUCUCACAAUCCAAUUUAAAGGUUAAUUCUCAUUGACCCAACUCUAUGAAUAGCAUUUUAAAUUAAUUAUUCUACAUCCAUUUUUUAAUUUACUAUAUUUUAAUACAUUUUCAAAAUAUGCUCUUAAUUUUCAAACGUAUCAACAAAUUUAAUCUUCAAAACUAGAACAGGUAGCAGCAGACAGUUUAACACGUUUGCACAACAUUAUGAUAAUAUAUAAUAGAACACUAAACAAAACUAAACAUGUAACAUUAAGCAACAUUUAAACUUCUGAUUUUGGAUCAGGACCCCUACCAGCCUAUUAUCAGCACUUAGAAUUAUGCAAACUACUGCAAUCCUGAUUCAGACAUCUCCAAUUACUCGUAAGCAGGUGCUUAAUUUUUUAUGAAACACGUUCUCAAUGACAUGCUACAUUCAAUCUAAUUACUCGAGUCCCCUUGACAGAAAAAGAGUUCCCAAGUCAGCAAAUAGUAGAAAGCGUAGCAGCAGACAAAAGAAACUACAAAUCAAAUAUUAAACUCGACGUAGAUAAUUUGAGAAUCCAGUAAAGUCUACAAACUUAAUGUGCAGGUGACGCUACUCUACUGGUCUACUUUGAGGAACCUCCUGUGAUGACGAUCUGAAAAGCUAAACUAUUUGAGUGGGCGUCUAGCUUUCCAGAAACUUAGAACUACGCUAGCAGUAGACUACGGUUACUUAGAGCUAUUUCCAGAACUGUCCUUUCAAGUCGUAGUGUCUGGUCAUAUUCAAACAUAUUGAACACAUCAAUACCACUUUCCCAAAAACUUUUGGUCUCCAAUCUGGGAGCCCAGAACACUGGGAGACCUAGAAUGUGGAUUUUGCAAGAUAAUAACGAGUGAAAUACUAGAUUCCUGCUAGCAUAAUUUACCAUUACGAUUGCGAAGCGUAGUCAGGAUGCCUAAUCCAAAUCCGCAUGCAGGUAAAGCAGCUGCUUGUAUUCUGAUAACAAUGCAGGGAUGUCGGCAAUUCGUAUCUGAGAUGAAAAAUGACAACUUGUGAACUUUUUGACAUACAAACAGCAUGUAGAUCGCAUGAAAUGGAAUCACUUCUUCAAGUUGCUUAAAGCACUUAAAAUUCUGCCAUGCAGCUAGUUCACUUCUGGGAAGAUCGCUCAUACUUAAGGAUCAUCAAGUAACAUUCCUGAAAAAACUUCAGUGAUGCUCUUCUAGGAGCAAUCUGCUCAACACUGACAUAUCUUAAGUGCAGUAUAAAAAAAACAUUUCGGCCGAGGAACGUGCUUAUUAGAUUUAUGAUAUAUAGAUACAGCUUAAGUUUCAAUACCUGGUUCGCAUCCUUCAAGUGGUAGAACCGGUAUAUCUGCAGCGUAGUGCCUUCUCCAUCCAGACCUCCAACCCUCGAAAUUUCACUACUGCAAAAAUAAUCCUUGUCAACCAGUUGGAAAUUAGAUGACCAUGCGAUACCUUCAAAUUUGUUGCUAAUUGGUUUCUAGUUGCUGAACUCGCAGAAGACAUCACGAGAACAGAUUGGAGGAGUAACAACCUUUGAUGAGUGCCCAGCAAACGCCGGUAGUCCCUAAGUAAGGGACUCAACUCUCGCAGCUGAAUAGAUUGCGCAUUUGAUUGGUUCCAAUGCGCUCUUACUACCUAUAAGAGAUCCAAAAGAUGAUUUCAGCUCUUAUAACGUACCGAUGAUAAGACAAUCAGCUACUUCACAUGUUCAAAAUUGUACACACGUCUUAGCCUGAAACCUACGUAACAAACAGGGAGGAUAGAGGUCUCAUCUGAAUUUGAAAGAAUAUAAAGAUAUAAUCCAUCAUUGACAGGCAUGCCGAAAGUUGAGCCAUCAUUGAAAACUCCUAAAGAGGACAGUGCAUGAUUUCAAAAUCAAAUAUGCACCUUGAGAAGUGAAGUUGCUGUAGCUGGACUAUUCUGAUCAGCUUCGGACAACAAUCCUUUCCCUAACGCAAGAAGCUCUUUAUCAUCGCUAGCUAUUUCAGGAGCUUCCGCGGCAGCAAUGGCUGGUAAUCCAAGUCGUUGUCGCAGAUCAUGGAGUGGCGAUGUAAU